rnacentral:tRNA from 5 species
GCGAGAGUGGCGGAAUUGGCAGACGCGCUGGAUUUAGGUUCCAGUACCGCAAGGUGUGGGGGUUCGACUCCCCCCUCUCGCA